GUUGUGGUUCCUCUUCUGUGUGGCAGGGCCCGGCUAAAGUGGAAGUUGCGAAGAGUAGGAACGAAGAAUUCGAGUCCUACUUCGAAGACAUGUUCUUGUAAGGUUUAGAAGUUUAUGCAGGACACGACCACAGGCAGAAGAGAAGACGGCUGUGUCUGUCCAGGAAUUUUUUAAGGACCGGCUUGGAUUCUGGGAUUUAUUCCCCUGCGGACCUCAGAGGGAUGAGAUUUUUAAAGGUAAUAGCCGUAGAAAUUUGGCACCUUUAUGUGGACACGGAGAACUAAUAGAUAUGAUGGUCUUGCUGUGACAAAUAAAGAGACUAGGGGCUAACCCCUUCUGUUAUGAUAUUGGUCGUGAACCUUCUUGGUGGUGGUGGUGGUGACGACAGAGGACAAGUUUAAGCUUGUAACACGGGUUCGAUCCAGAAUGGAAACAGCGAAGAAGAACAUGGGACGAAACUGCAAGUUGAUGUCCCUUGGUGAUGGUGGCAACAGAGAGAACGAGAAAUUGAAGCUUGUGUUUGACAAGGGUUCAAUUCAAACUGGAAACUGGAAAAGAAGUUUGAAGUCGAUGUCCCAUUCGAGAAUAAUCCACCAGAGAGGGUGAUACCUUCCACUUCGCUAAAAGAAAUUUUUGUUCAUAUGAUUGCAUUUGCUGAGAGUUUCAGAACUGGAAUUUAAUAGAAGACAUUUACCCAAGAUGCCACAUAAUGGGACUGAAACCAGAACCGUGCAGUUGAGAAAUAAACUACUUGCCACACAGCCA